UGGGGGAAUAUUGCACAAUGGGCGAAAGCCUGAUGCAGCAACGCCGCGUGAGUGAUGAAGGCCUUCGGGUUGUAAAGCUCUGUCUUUUGGGACGAUAAUGACGGUACCAAAGGAGGAAGCCACGGCUAACUACGUGCCAGCAGCCGCGGUAAUACGUAGGUGGCAAGCGUUGUCCGGAUUUACUGGGCGUAAAGGAUGCGUAGGCGGAUUUUUAAGUGAGAUGUGAAAAUACCCGGGCUUAACUUGGGUGCUGCAUUUCAAACUGGGAAUCUAGAGUGCGGGAGAGGAGAAUGGAAUUCCUAGUGUAGCGGUGAAAAUGCGUAGAGAUUAGGGAAGAACACCAGUGGGCGAAAGGCGAUUCUCUGGGACCGUAAACUGACGCUGAGGCAUGAAAAGCGUGGGGUAGCAAAACAGGAUUAGAUACCCCUGGUAGUCCACGCCCGUAAAACGAUGAGUACUAGGUGUAGGAGGUAUCGACCCCUUCUGUGCCGCAGUUAACACAA
rnacentral:rRNA from 1 species